rnacentral:lncRNA from 1 species
CGGUGCAUUACGUUUGCGCGCAUUACCAUUACAUUUGCGCGCAAAAAUCAUUACGUUUGCGCGCAGCUUUUGAUUACAAUUGCGCGCAUUUUUUGACAGGUAAACUCAGGUAAAAUACAGGUAAUAAUACUUAUUUGAUUAUAAUUUGGUCAAUUAUUAACAAGUAUAAGUUCUCAUUCCGUUAGUGUUAGUCCCCAGCUCACCAACGAUGAGCUUAAAGUGGGAUUUCGAGAAAGAUAAGUCCGUUUUAUUAUGCACAAGCA